AACGAACGCUGGCGGCAUGCCUAACACAUGCAAGUCGAACGAGACCUUCGGGUCUAGUGGCGCACGGGUGCGUCACGCGUGGGAACCUGCCCUUAGGUUCGGAAUAACUCCCCGACAGGGGUGCUAAUACCGGAUAAUGUCUUCGGACCAAAGAUUUAUCGCCUUUGGAUGGGCCCGCGUUGGAUUAGCUAGUUGGUAGGGUAAAAGCCUACCAAGGCGACGAUCCAUAGCUGGCCUGAGAGGAUGAUCAGCCACACUGGGACUGAGACACGGCCCAGACUCCUACGGGAGGCAGCAGUGGGGAAUAUUGGACAAUGGGCGAAAGCCUGAUCCAGCAAUGCCGCGUGAGUGAUGAAGGCCUUAGGGUUGUAAAGCUCUUUUACCCGGGAUGAUAAUGACAGUACCGGGAGAAUAAGCUCCGGCUAACUCCGUG
rnacentral:rRNA from 1 species